ACUCCUACGGGAGGCAGCAGCAGGGAAUCUUGCGCAAUGGGCGAAAGCCUGACGCAGCGACACCGCGUGGGGGAAGAAGGCUCUAGGGUCGUGAACCCCUUUUCUCGGGGAAGAGGACGGACUGUACCCGAGGAAUAAGGUUCGGCUAACUACGUGCCAGCAGCCGCGGUAAU
rnacentral:rRNA from 1 species